rnacentral:rRNA from 1 species
UACGUAGGGUGCAAGCGUUAAUCGGAAUUACUGGGCGUAAAGCGUGCGCAGGCGGUUAUGUAAGACAGAUGUGAAAUGCCCGGGCUUAACCUGGGAACUGCAUUUGUGACUGCAUGGCUAGAGUUUGGCAGAGGGGGGUAGAAUUCCACGUGUAGCAGUGAAAUGCGUAGAGAUGCGGAGGAACACCGAUGGCGAAGGCAGCCCCCUGGGCUAGCACUGACGCUCAGGCACGAAAGCGUGGGGAGCAAACAGG